GUUAGGGUGGCAGAGCCCGGACAUGCAAAAGACCUAAGCCCUUUGAAUAGAGGUUCAAAUCCUCUCCCUAACU
rnacentral:tRNA from 1 species